rnacentral:rRNA from 1 species
AGAGGGUGCAAGCGUUAAUCGGAAUUACUGGGCGUAAAGCGCGCGUAGGUGGUUUGUUAAGUUGGAUGUGAAAUCCCCGGGCUUAACCUGGGAACUGCGUUUGAAACUGGGGAGCUGGAGUGUGGAAGAGGGGGGUGGAAUUCCAGGUGUAGCAGUGAAAUGCGUAGAGAUCUGGAGGAACACCGAUGGCGAAGGCAGCCCCCUGGGCUAGCACUGACGCUCAUGCACGAAAGCGUGGGGAGCAAACAGGAUUAGAUACCCUGGUAGUCCACGCCCUAAACGAUGUCAACUGGUUGUCGGGGAAGCAAUUCCUUGGUAACGAAGCUAACGCGUGAAGUUGACCGCCUGGGGAGUACGGCCGCAAGGUUA